UGUGUUUAAUGACCUUACGGUUUGUAAGACUAUCUCUUGCAAUAAAAAGGGAAUCAGGUGUAACACCUAAGCUGCCCCCGCAACUGUAAUUGGUAACGCUAGGUUGUGUUAUCUAUCACUGAAUAAGAUGCGGUAAGCUAAACCAAGCAUGUUAAACCAAGAGCCAGGAGACCUGCCGUGAUAUUUCUUAAACA
rnacentral:ncRNA from 2 species